CCUACGGGGUGCAGCAGUAGGGAAUCUUCCACAAUGGACGAAAGUCUGAUGGAGCAACGCCGCGUGAGUGAAGAAGGGUCUCGGCUCGUUAAGCUCUGUUGGUAGUGAAGAAAGAUAGAGGUAGUAACUUGCCUUUAUUUGACGGUAAUUAAUUAGAAAGUCACGGCUAAUUACGUGCCAGCAGCCGCGGUAAUACGUAGGUGGCAAGCGUUGUCCGGAUUUAUUGGGCGUAAAGCGAGUGCAGGCGGUUCAAUAAGUUUGAUGUGAAAGCCGUCGGCUCAACCGGAGAAUUGCAUCAGAAACUGUUGACCUUGAGUGCAGAAGGGGAGAGUGGAACUCCAUGUGUAGCGGUGGAAUGCGUAGAUAUAUGGAAGAACACCAGUGGCGAAGGCGGCUCUCUGGUCUGCGACUGACGCUGAGGCUCGAAAGCAUGGGUAGCGAACAGGAUUAGAUACCCUGGUAGUC
rnacentral:rRNA from 1 species